CCCACUUCUAGCCCAAUUAAACUUUAAUUUGGUUACAUGUGGUUUUUGACAAAAUAAUUUGUGAGAUGGAUGCUAUUUUAUCAUGUAAGCAAAGUUAACAGCGAUUACAAGGUAUUUCUUUUCAUUUCUUUAAAGUGUUUUAUGCAUCGUCUGUACGUAGUCAUAAUUUAGCUCAUAAAUAGACCGACUACGAAUAAACCACGUUUAGCCCAGAAAUAACCAUGAAUUUAAUUACAUGUUGUUUUGCCAAAAUUAUUUGUGAGAUGUAUGAUAUUUAAUAAUGUAAACAAAGUUCAAAGCAAUUAAGGUAUUUUGUUUCAUUUCUUUAAAGUGUUUUAUGCACCGUCUGUACUUAGCCACUAUUUAGCUUACAAAUAGACCGACUACGAAUAACCCACGUUUAGCCCAGAAAUAACCAUUAAUUUAAUUACAUGUUGUUUUGCCAAAAUGAUUUGUGAGAUGUAUGAUAUUUAAUCAUGUAAACAAAGUUCAAAGCGAUUAAGGUAUUUUGUUUCAUUUCUUUAAAGUGUUUAUACACCGUCUGUACUAGCCACUAUUUAGCUUACAAAUAGACCGACUACGAAUAACCCACGUUUAGCCCAGAAAUAACCAUUAAUUUAAUUACAUGUGGUUUUUGCCAAAAUAACUUGUGAGAUGUAUGGUAUGUCAUUGUAAGCAAAGUUAACAGCGAUUACAAGGUUUGUUUAAUUUAUUUAAAGUGUUUUAUGCACCGUCGUACAUAGCCACUAUUUAGCUCAUAAAUAGACCGACUACGAACAAACCAUGUUUAGCCCAAAAUAACCUUGAAUUUAAUAAAAUUUUGUUUUUGCCAAAAUAACUUGCAAGAAUUAUGAUAUUUUAUCAGGCAUGCAAAGACACCAGUGAAAUUAAGAUGUUUGGUUUAAUUUAUCUUAUCUGAAUAUCUGCUGUCACGCAUAACAUUCAUUAUUUGACCGUAUUUCAAAGAUAAACAAAAUCCAGUUACAACUCCGAACCGCUAGAUGGCAGCAGUACACAAACACGGGGCCAAAUCUCACGAGAAAGAUUUCCGCUGUUUGAAAAGCAACAACAUCAGCGAGCAGCCACGAGGAAAGUAUGUACCACACUCGUUUGGUCUUAGUUCACUAAAAUUCAUUAAUUUCAAAGUUCAACAUGAAUAGUGGUGGUCCACUGCAGAAGCAAGCAUUUGAAAAAACAUCAGUUCUCAGUUAUUAAAGAUGCUGUGUUGAACAACUUCCCAGCAGCAACAGAACUGGAAGUGAAGGAUGCAAUGGGGGCAUUUCAAACAGGCACCAGGGAGCACGGGGGGGGGGGUAUAGAAAUUAGUACAAUUAAUAAGUUGACGUGAACUGAAGAUAGUUUGUUAAUGUUUAGAUGUUAUUUCAUUUUUAAAAUUGUAUUUUGUUAUAUAUGUUUUUAUUUUGUUACUGUUUUUAUUCUUUUUGUUAAAAGUAGUUUUUCUUCAUUUUGUAUUAUCUGAAUUUCUAUUGUAUUAACAAUAUUUUUUGUAAUAAAUUGCAUGAUUGCA